GACGAACGCUGGCGGCGUGCUUAACACAUGCAAGUCGAACGGAAAGGCCUUUUCGGAGGUACUCGAGUGGCGAACGGGUGAGUAACACGUGGGUGAUCUGCCCUGCACUCUGGGAUAAGCCUGGGAAACUGGGUCUAAUACCGGAUAGGACCGCACUUUAGUGUGUGUGGUGGAAAGUUUUUUCGGUGUAGGAUGAGCCCGCGGCCUAUCAGCUUGUUGGUGGGGUAAUGGCCUACCAAGGCGGCGACGGGUAGCCGGACUGAGAGGUUGGUCGGCCACGUUGGGACUGAGAUACGGCCCAGACUCCUACGGGAGGCAGCAGUGGGGAAUAUUGCACAAUGGGCGCAAGCCUGAUGCAGCGACGCCGCGUGGGGGAUGACGGCCUUCGGGUUGUAAACUCCUUUCGCCAGGGACGAAGCGUUUUGUGACGGUACCUGGAGAAGAAGCACCGGCUAACUACGUG
rnacentral:rRNA from 1 species